rnacentral:rRNA from 1 species
CCUUGUACACACCGCCCGUCACAUCAUGAAAGCCGUUUGUACCCGAAGUCAUCCCUCAAAAGAUGCCGAAGGUAUGGAUGGUGAUUGGGAUG